rfam:Flavobacterium spartansii strain MST NODE_7_length_344708_cov_44.3436, whole genome shotgun sequence.
UUUUAGCCCCGAUAGCAGUGGAAAUCCUUUUGUGCCGGGGUUCGGCGCAAAAGAUUGCAGCGUAUAGCGGGAAAAAGC